AUGGGGUUCGCGGUGACGAGGACGAGCAAGUCGCUGGUGGUGCCGACGUCGCCGACGCCGGCCGGGGAGACGCUGCGGCUGUCGUCUCUGGACCGCGUGCCGGGGCUGCGCCACCUCGUCCUGUCGCUGCACGCGUUCGAUGGCGCAACGCGGGUCGACGCCGCCGUCGGCGAGGGAGAAGUUGCCGCCAGCCCUGCAAGGGUGGUGCGGGAGGCCCUGGGGAAGGCGCUGGUGGACUACUACCCGUUCGCCGGACGGUUCCUGGAGCCGGAGGUGGAGGGCGGCGAGGUGAGGGUGGCGUGCACCGGCGAGGGCGCGUGGUUCGUGGAGGCCAUGGCCGCGUGCAGCCUGGAGGACGUGAAGCACCUGGACCACCCGAUGGUGAUCCCCAAGGAGGAGCUGCUGCCGGAGCCGUCGCCCGACGUGCCGGCGCUCGACAUGCCGCUCAUGAUGCAGGUGACGGAGUUCACGUGCGGCGGGUUUGUGGUGGGCCUGAUCUCCGUGCACACGAUCGCCGACGGCCUCGGCGCCGGGCAGUUCAUCAACGCGGUGGGGGACUACGCGCGCGGCCUGCCCAAGCCUCGCCUGUCCCCGGUCUGGGCGCGGGACCUCAUCCCGGACCCUCCCCGGAUGCCGGCCCCGCCGCCGAAGCUGGAGCUCCUCGACCUCCGCGAGUUCACCGUGGACCUCACCCCGGACCACAUCGCCAAGGCCAAGUCCGACUUCUUCGUGUCCAUGGGACAGCGCUGCUCCGCCUUUGACGUCUGCGUCGCCAAGACGUGGCAGUCCCGCACCCGCGCCCUCCGUCUCGCCGGGCGCCUCGCCGACGACCACCCCGUCCACGUCUGCUUCUUCGCCAACACGCGCCACCUCAUGCUCGCCGGCGUCGCCGAGGGGUUCUACGGAAACUGCUUCUACCCGGUGACGGUGACGUGCAGCAGCGCGGAGGUGGCGGCGGGGGAGGUGGUGGACGUGGUGCGCGCGGUGCGGGACGCCAAGGCGCGGCUCGCCGGCGACGUGGCACGCUGGGCGGUGGGAGGGUUCGCGCAGGACCCCUACGAGCUGAGGUUCACGUACGACUCGCUGUUCGUCUCCGACUGGACGCGGCUCGGGUUCCUGGAGGCGGACUACGGGUGGGGCGCGCCGACCCACGUCGUGCCCUUCUCGUACCACCCGUUCAUGGCCGUCGCUGUCAUCGGCGCGCCGCCGGCGCCCAAGAUCGGCGCGCGGGUCAUGACCAUGUGCGUCGAGGAGGCGCACCUGCCAGAGUUCCGGGACCAGAUGAACGCCUUCGCCGCUGGCAAGUAA
rnacentral:rRNA from 1 species